GUGAAUAGACCAGUUUGCAGCAACAUUUUGGACACACCGAACAGUGGGAAAUUAGUGCAACACACUACUGACUCCUUUCUUGAGCAAUACGGCUUAAAUUAUUGCUCGCGGUACUUUAGUAGUAGUCAUUAACGAUUCGGUUUAAAUAUUUACUUAAUAUAACCAAGUGUCGGGGUUAAUAAUAACAUACAACAUAACCUAAGCGCAAACAGUUGAAAACGGCAUCUGUAUCUAAGCUUGCAAAACCUGUCCUGCCUAUUCGAACAGCCAAAAAAAUACCAAAAACAUUACUUUACUCCAUCGUAACAUUUUUUACGAAAAUUUAAGAAGAAAAAUAGUUUCCCUUACAAGUCAGAAAGGGGAGCUUAGGUAUGAGAACUUGUUACACCAGCCGCCAACCGAGCUCGGAGUGACAACCUGGCACGCGGCUCACCCUACGACCAACGGCAUUGAAUGUUAACGAUCAGAGUCUUUGAAUACUGACGACCACGACAAUAUCGCGCGAGAGGAUGUUUGAACGAUUUUGCAACGGUACAUGCGAUUAUGUUAGGUGGAAGUUACGCGCACGCGGAAAACAUUAUGGUACACAGGCGCAUAGUAUGUACUUCCGCGGUGUAAUUGUUUACAGCGAUAACUUUCCGUGCAAAUGUGCAACGGCACCAUGUUGAUGUCAACAUUCGUAACGAUGCAACAUCAAUACACAACCUGAUGCCAACAAUCAUACAGGCGGAAGUUGAUGUCCGGGAGCUGAUGCUCAGGUCAGAACUUAGGGCGGCGUUCUUCUUGUUGCUUAGCCCCAGU